UACGUAGGGAGCAAGCGUUGUUCGGAUUUACUGGGCGUAAAGGGCGCGUAGGCGGCCUUCUAAGUCAGACGUGAAAUCCCCAGGCUUAACUUGGGAACUGCGUCUGAUACUGGGAGGCUUGAGUGCGGGAGAGGGAUGUGGAAUUCCAGGUGUAGCGGUGAAAUGCGUAGAGAUCGGGGGGAACACCCGUGGCGAAGGCGGCCAGCUGGGCCGACCCUGACACUGAGGCGCGAAGGCGUGGGGAGCGAACGGG
rnacentral:rRNA from 1 species